CCUACGGGCGGCAGCAGUGAGGAAUAUUGGUCAAUGGACGCAAGUCUGAACCAGCCAUGCCGCGUGCAGGAAGACGGCUCUAUGAGUUGUAAACUGCUUUUGUACGAGGGUAAAUCCCGAUACGUGUAUCGGGUUGAAAGUAUCGUACGAAUAAGGAUCGGCUAACUCCGUGCCAGCAGCCGCGGUAAUACGGAGGAUUCAAGCGUUAUCCGGAUUUAUUGGGUUUAAAGGGUGCGUAGGAGGUCGGAUAAGUUAGAGGUGAAGUCCAGAGGCGUAACUUCGGAAUUGCCUAUGAUACUGUUCGGCUAGAGAGUAGGUGCGGUAGGCGGAAUGUAUGGUGUAGCGGUGAAAUGCUUAGAGAUCAUACAGAACACCGAUUGCGAAGGCAGCUUACCAAGCUACUUCUGACGUUGAGGCACGAAAGCGUGGGGAGCAAACAGGAUUAGAUACCCGAGUAGUC
rnacentral:rRNA from 1 species